rnacentral:rRNA from 1 species
UACGUAGGGGGCUAGCGUUAUCCGGAAUCAUUGGGCGUAAAGCGCGUGUAGGCGGUCCGGUAAGUCCGCUGUGAAAGUCGGGGGCUCAACCCUCGAAUGCCGGUGGAUACUGUCGGGCUAGAGUGCGGAAGAGGCGAGUGGAAUUCCUGGUGUAGCGGUGAAAUGCGCAGAUAUCAGGAGGAACACCAAUUGCGAAGGCAGCUCGCUGGGACGUUACUGACGCUGAGACGCGAAAGCGUGGGGAGCAAACAGG